UUCCCUGCACAGCGCAACCCGCUUUAUCUUCGUAACUCAAUUUUAUUCUUUCCAUCAUCCUCAUUAGAUGUUGGAAUCUAACCAUGUACAGAAAUGCAGGAAUCAACCCUAAAAUUGCUGCUACUACUACCAAAGAAAGAGUAUAGAGUAAUGCAGCCUCCUCCAACGAUGUGCACAUCAGCACCGCGUCCAUCAAUGGUCUUGUAGCUGUUAAAAAUCAGCUCCUGGGACAGCUUAAUCAUCAUGUUACUGGGGAAGACGAUCCAGAGUGGCUCGUUCUGUAUCACAGCGUAUCUCAGCGUCCCAGGUUUUGGGUUCACAGGGUCCCCGUCAGAGGAAUCGGUGACCACGUAAAAAUCACCACCUUUCCCUCCCUUUGCAUACUGACCAAACCCAAUGGCGCAGUCAGCCAGCCUCUGCCGGUUGUUGGGCCAAUCCGGGUCACAUUUCCAACAAUCAUCAAUGGGGUUCCCCGUUAGACACGAAGACUCGUCUCUCUCUGACACUGAUAACAUCUCCCUUCUUGCAAUUGAAGCAUUAACCUUCCUACACAACAACCAAAACAAGGGUCAAAACUCUAUCCUCUAUAAAAGGUACAACUAGCGAUGGAACGUCACCCUUUUUCCAGAUCUACUCUAUAUUUAUGUAAUAUUGUACAAAACUAACUACAUUAUCGAGUUCAACUACGAUGAUGAGCAUAGCAUGUGGUAUACAGUGUAUACAUAGUGUGAAUGUAUGUACCUAUGAACUUCGUGGGCAACAGCUUCGGGGUCUGGAUGUGCUCCUGGAAGGGUUAGGUUAAGCAUUGCCGUUCCAAGUGGUGAAAAAGAAGUUAGAAGUGAGAGUAGGAAAAGGCAGCUUGUCUGGAGCAUUGUCGAUGAAGAAUGGGUUGCAGUUUUUGGUUGCGCAAUGCUCUCAGUCCGAGUCACUCUGAGAGUUACUAGUUACUGUACCAUGGCAAGUUGUCGAAAAGUGUUAGCCAGUGUUGGGUUAGCCGAAUUAAUAAGCAGGGAAAGUGAGUGAUUGCAAUGAUAACUAACGAACGAGGUUUAGUGUGAACAGAGGCAUGGGAUAAACGAACUUUUGUGUAUAAGUAUAGUAAUUAUACGUGGUGGUAUUUUACGAUGUUCGGUGGUGCUGAAAAAUAAUGAUUGUAGAGUGGUUCUUUUGAUUAAUUUAUUGAUGGAAAAAGGCAAAAAAGGGAGCGGUGAGUGAGAGAAGUAGAAGAAAGGGUCGCGCAUUGUCAAGGAAUCACCCUGCUCUCGAGGAAAUGGUCUCUUCAUUUGUUUGCGGGACAGGUAGACACAGACACUGUCACUGUUCCAAACAAAAUUAUCAUCAAUAUUACUGCAAUCUCUCUUCUUUUCCUUUUUCCUUUUUUCAUACACAAACAGAAACUAAAAAUGUCGUGUGAGAUUUUUAUGAAUAUACUUAGUAAUGGAUUUUUCG